UACGUAGGGUGCGAGCGUUGUCCGGAAUUAUUGGGCGUAAAGAGCUCGUAGGCGGUGUGUCGCGUCGGCCGUGAAAACCUGGGGCUUAACUCUGGGCGUGCGGUCGAUACGGGCAUCACUAGAGUUCGGCAGGGGAGACUGGAAUUCCUGGUGUAGCGGUGAAAUGCGCAGAUAUCAGGAGGAACACCGGUAGCGAAGGCGGGUCUCUGGGCCGAUACUGACGCUGAGGAGCGAAAGCAUGGGUAGCGAACAGG
rnacentral:rRNA from 1 species